rnacentral:lncRNA from 1 species
UCUAUAGUUUUGUCCAUCUUCUAUAGGUAAUUCUGGAUAUAAAUCAGGAGCUGUAGGUUGUUUCAUUUUUUAAAGUAAAAAUUGAUUUUUUUUUUUUUUUCUCUUAAAUCCCACAGAAUUUUUUCUCUGUCAGUUCUCCCGGUUUUUUUUUGGGAGUAAGAAAAUUUGGUGUUUUUUUUGGGUGUUUUUUUGCUUUUUUUUUUUAUGAAAAUUUAGGGCUCUUUUACUUGAAAUGAGGGUAAUUUUUUGGGGGUCAAAUUUUUUUUUUUUGGAGGGGGGGCGCUGGAGUCGUUCAAGUACUAUACUACUCCCCUUAGGGGAAAAAAUGAGUUUUAUAAAAAACCCCAGGAUUAAGGUUUUGGUGUGCUCUUUACAAAAAAAAUUUUUUAUUUUUUUAUGGGGGGUAUAAAUACAAAGUGUGUUUUUUUCUUCUUAAUUUUGAAGUUAAAAAUCACACAAAAAUGUUGGUAAAAUUUUUAUUUUGGAUGUAAAAAGGGUUUUUUUUCUUUAAAAUGGGGGGUCAAAAAUUG